rnacentral:rRNA from 1 species
CCGGACCUGACUGCUAUCGGAUUGGUACUAAGCCAUGCGAGUCAUUGUAGCAAUACAAGGCGGACGGCUCAGUAACACGUAGUCAACCUAACCUAUGGACGUGGAUAACCUCGGGAAACUGAGAAUAAACCGCGAUAGAUCAUUAUGCCUGGAAUGGCUUAUGGUUCAAACAAUUUAUUGCCGUAGGAUGGGACUGCGGCCUAUCAGCUUGUUGGUGAGGUAAUGGCCCACCAAGGCUAUAACAGGUACGGGCUCUGAGAGGAGAAGCCCGGAGAUGGGUACUGAGACACGGACCCAGGCCCUAUGGGGCGCAGCAGGCGAGAAACCUUAGCAAUGUGCGAAAGCACGACUAGGUUAAUCCGAGUGAUUCCUGUUGAAGGAAUCUUUUGUCAGUCGUAAGACCACAGACGAAUAAGGGGUGGGCAAGUCUGGUGUCAGCCGCCGCGGUAAUACCAGCACCUCGAGUGGUCAGGAGGUUUAUUGGGCCUAAAGCAUCCGUAGCCGGCUUUGCAAGUCUCCGGCUAAAUCCAGCUGCUCAACAGAUGGGCUGCCGGAGAUACUACACAGCUAGGGAGCGGGAGAGGCAGACGGUAUUCUGUGGGUAGGGGUAAAAUCCAUUGAUCCAUAGAGGACCACCAGUGGCGAAGGCGGUCUGCCAGAACGCGUUCGACGGUGAGGGAUGAAAGCUGGGGGAGCAAACCGGAUUAGAUACCCGGGUAGUCCCAGCUGUAAACGAUGCAAACUCGGUGAUGCAUUGGCUUAUGGCCAAUGCAGUGCCGCAGGAAGCCGUUAAGUUUGCCGCCUGGGAAGUACGGACGCA